rnacentral:SRP_RNA from 1 species
CGUCGGUCACCCCGCAACGAUACAUUGCGAACCCCGCCAGGCCCGGAAGGGAGCAACGGUAGUGAUGGAUUCGUGUGCCGGGGCACGGCGGGCGCGG